rnacentral:lncRNA from 1 species
UGCCUCCAUCUUGGAUAAACUCUUUUUUCUAAGAAGACGGCAUGGCGACUCAUAAUCACAUUGUGAUCCUCAGAAAGAUUGAAGUAGUAUCCUAUGGUUUUCUUAGAAUAUCCUAUAAAAUGAGUCCUAAAGGACCUAGCCUCUAACUUGUCCGCCUGCUGUCAUUUGACAUGGGUCGGACAUCUCCAAAUCUUGAGGUAUCCAAGAGUUG